rnacentral:rRNA from 1 species
GCGCACUCUUCGGAGUGAGCGGCGGACGGGUUAGUAACGCGUGGGAACAUACCUUUCGGUAAGGAAUAGCCACUGGAAACGGUGAGUAAUACCUUAUACGCCCUUCGGGGGAAAGAUUUAUCGCCGAGAGAUUGGCCCGCGUUAGAUUAGAUAGUUGGUGGGGUAACGGCCUACCAAGUCUACGAUCUAUAGCUGGUUUUAGAGGAUGAUCAGCAACACUGGGACUGAGACACGGCCCAGACUCCUACGGGAGGCAGCAGUGGGGAAUCUUGGACAAUGGGCGCAAGCCUGAUCCAGCCAUGCCGCGUGAGUGAUGAAGGCCUUAGGGUCGUAAAGCUCUUUCGCCAGAGAUGAUAAUGACAGUAUCUGGUAAAGAAACCCCGGCUAACUCCGUGCCAGCAGCCGCGGUAAUACGGAGGGGGUUAGCGUUGUUCGGAAUUACUGGGCGUAAAGCGUACGUAGGCGGACCAUUAAGUUGGGGGUGAAAUCCCGGGGCUCAACCCCGGAACUGCCUCCAAAACUGCUGGUCUUGAGUUCGAGAGAGGUGAGUGGAAUUCCGAGUGUAGAGGUGAAAUUCGUAGAUAUUCGGAGGAACACCAGUGGCGAAGGCGGCUCA